CCUGGGGAAGGGAGGGGUUUGAGGAGUUCUGAGCAGCCGGCGCCGGGCAUUUGUGUAACAGUGCCUCGUUUGCCUACAGUCCGCUCAGUUCCCUGUUUUCUUCUAGUGGAUUCCCACCUCGAGUGCUGUGCCCAGCUCUGGGUCCCUCGGUUCGGGAGGGACGCUGAGGUGCUGGAGCGGGUCCAGACAAGGGCAACAGAGCUGGUGAGGGGUCUGGAGAACAAGUCCUGUGAGGAGCGGCUGAGGGAGCUGGUGGUGUUCAGCUUGGAGAGAAGGAGGCUCAGGACUGACCUUAUCAUUCUGCAGCUCCGUGAAAGGAAGUUAUAGCCAGGCAGAAGGAAAGGACUGGUGGGUACCCCCUCAGUGUGAAAGAGGCUGUAGCUGGGCAGGAAGGACAGACAGACCUGGCAGUGACCUACUACAGGAACCUGCAGUCCUGCCUGGGCAGGACAGUGCCUGUGCUCUGCUCCCUUCCUGCUGCUGCACUCUGAAGAACCUCAGAAGGACAAGAGCAGGACACAUGGCAUGAGCUUUCACAUCUGGAAGGGACAGCAGGUCCUGGCCAUGCCCUGCUGCUGCAAGAGGCUCACCCAGCUCAGCUGCAGCAGCGCAGGAUGAGAACUGGAGCUUUAGCAGCACUCGGUGCAUUUGGCAGGAGGGUCCUGUACCACCGGGAAACUCCUGUCUGCAUGCAAAAGGUGAGACAAAAUGCAUAAUAACCUUGGCUAUUCAAGUCUCCUGCUCCAAGUGUCGCUCGGACAGACUUUUAGGCCGCUCGCUUUUAGUGCUUUCUGACAGAGGAGGGAGCUGUCAGCUCAGCUUUGAGUUGCUCAGCAGGCAGACGUGCCCACCUGGGAGCUGACUAAGCUGUCCGGGCAGCCCACCGAAGGGAGAUGUUAAGCCUGACUUGCAGGAGGUGGAAUGCUAACCUGAAAGUGCUUAAAUCUUUUGCUUUAAGUGCAUCUAUGGGGUGUUUUGUGUCCCUGUACAAUGAAAACCACAGUCACCGGCCUGCAGGGACAGUGGGAGCAGCAGACUCGAGCUGUUUGAAGGUGGAACAUUUGGCAGUGGGGUCUUGCACUUUCCCUGGAAAACUGGAGCCUGUGCAAGACCUUUCUGUUAAUGCCCAGAGCCAGAGCAGCCUCCUCUGUGCCUGGGCGAUGCAAGCAGCCCUUUUAUCUGGGAGACCUGCCAGGCAGCAGAAGCAGGCAAGGAAACAGCAAAGUUAGACUGGUCUGAGGUUGACUCAAGCCAACGUGAACUGGUCUGAAGUGGAAUAACAACCUGAUCCUAUCAGCCAUUUCUCCUGGUACGACCCGUCAGUAGCCUUCCUGCCUCAGCCGGUGGCAGUGUUACGAGGUAUGGCUUAAUUACAGCCUUGAAAUAAAAAAGAAUUUCUUCAUUAGAUGUUGCUUUACAGCUGCAUCAGUCAUCUUCUGUCCAGCUGCUCGUGGCAGAGCUCCAGGUGGGCUGAAUGGGGCUGGUUUGGCAGGUACGAAGGGAGGUGGUGGUUGGAGCGCGCAGCUGGGCAGAGCGGGGCUGAGUCAGAAGCUCCUGGUGACGUUGCUAAAUUCAGUUUGCCACAAAGAUCUUUUUCUCCUUCACACUGGAGCUGUGUUUAUGCAGUCUUUCUGCCUUCAGAAAUGUGGCUCAGACCCAGUCCCUGAGAGUCACACGCAUUCAUUCCUUGGCCGUUGAAAAAAGGCGAGUAGGAAAACGUGGUGUCUGUGUUACAUGUUUGGGGACUGGUUUCCACCACGCUUGUCUUCUGACAGUAGUUAGGUGACAAAGAUUGAAAGCCUGUCUUCCCACCCAGGGUGCUGUGCUUUAUUUCUCAAGCCACAGAGAUAACCCCUGGCAGAUGACUUCAUUUUAAAUUGUAGUGAGACCCUGAACUGAUGAUUUAGGAGCACCUGUUUUCUUUGUUGUGGUUCUGAUUUUGGUGUGUUGCUUUGUGCCCCAGAAAGAUGGAUUGUUACUUGGCUAAGGCUAAAUGAGGAGGUUAUACCAAAAGCUGUGUGAAAUGGAAUCUCUUUCCAGUCUGAGUCAGUCCUUCCAAAUCCUGUUCCUCUUUCCCCCAGGUACUGGUGCUAGAAACCAGCAGCCUUUCCUCCACCUCAGUCGAUGCACCAGCAUCAGCUUAGUGCUAAUGUUCUGAACUGCUCUGAAUUAAUGGUAAAUCUUAGUGUCUUGUAUAGCAGAGACUGACUCACAUCAGCUCACUUGAUCACUUAUUCCAGGAAAAUAACACUCAAAUUUGCCAGAGAACUGUCCCUGACACACUGAAAUACUUGUGACUUCAAAGCUUUUGCAACUCAGAAUGGCAAUUUCUGUAUGUUUUCCUUUAAAAUUGUUCAUAUUUAAAUAUGGGAAUUGCACUAAGAACCUUGAAAGACUCUUCAAUUUGAGAAGAUUUUAAAAUUGAUCACAUUCAGGAACCUUUGUUUCAGGCAACUCAGCUCAGACUAAUGUAGAGUUGCACAAAAACCUCCCUAAGAAAAACCAAGGCAUAAACUUGGGAUUUAAUGUCUCAAAUUCAUGCAGAGUUUGUUUUAAAGAAUAUUUUAGUCUCAGUAACCCAGGAAAGGGCUGUAUUUAUCUGGAAAAAGCGUCUUUUCCCAGUGAUAGACUUAAUUCAGUCCUUUUACAUUUUUUUUCUGUCAUUUUUUUUGGACAAGAAGCAAAAGGUGCAGGAGCAAAUACUGCAGAGGCAUAAAAGUUCCCCUCUUGUAUGAGAGGAGCAGAGGUUUAAAUGGGAAAAAGGCUUGCUUUUAGACUUCUGAGUUUUGGCACAAGUCCCAGUGGGAUGUGUGUGACUGGCCCUCCCCAGCUUCUGCACAGUGUUGCAUUUCUUCACAAAAAUAGGACCUUUGCUGGUACUGGGGUUAACAGGGAAAAACGUAGGGGAAAUGUUCUGGGCAAGGGGGAGCAAAGGGGGUGUGAGGUGUGUGACAGAUGGCUCUGGGUUAACUGCUCCUGCUGAGUACCUUUAUCAUUCAAUAUGCUCAGUAAGGCUGUAUCCCAGGGCUGCUGGACCCUCCUGCUCUCUCAGACCUUCUGAGGGACUCUGUAAGGGUAGUUCAGACGUGGCUGACUGAUCCCUGCCUGGCAGCAGGACGAGUUACAUCUCAGAACCACCUCAUAAACCUCUAAAAUCUUGGAAAACCGAUUUCCUUGCAAAAGCCAAGGCAAAAUAUGCAACGUUGAGCCAAAAUAACAUUUUGUUAUUUGGAGAUUGACCUCAACCCAAUUUCUGACGCUGGGUUCAGGCUCAGCUGCUGCUUAAGAGCCAGCCAGAGAAAUUGUGUGUGUGUGUGCUGUUACCCCCUGGAAGUGAAGGUGCUGAGGUGAAGCCUGACCAAACCACAGAGAGUGAAGCUGUGUUAUGUAGAGGAGGGCAAUGCAAUUUCUAGUGAUCACUGCUGUUCUGGUGCAGUGCAAAAGUUUCUCACACGUUAUCCUCCCCUCUACAGCAGCAACAAACUUUAUUGCAAAUGUGCAAUACAAAAGACAAGAACAUUGCAGUGCUUUAUUGUGACACUGUUCCCUCUCCUCCCCAUGCUGCUGGUAGAGCUCUGCACUCAAAAUUCAGAUGCAGCUCACAUUUGGCGUGAUAGCAGAAUAAACCAUAGGAUUAAAAAUGUUCCUGGAUCUCCCUUUAAAUGCUUUCCCUUCUCGCUAUGGCAUCCUUGGCAUCCCUGGGGAUAGGAUUUGCACUUCUGUGCUCUGUUGCUGCAAAGUUAAGCCUAUGGCAGUGACACUUGGAGGAGGGAAGGGAGGUCAUGUUGAGGUGGACUAAUGUCAGAAAUCACUUGUGUUUAAUAGCUUUUGCUAUGAAUAAUAUGUCCCCUACAACAUGAGGUAGUAGGAAAAAGAAGGGAAAUAUGAGAGUAUAUAUAAUCAGAGUUUCUGAAAAUCCUUUUGGAAGUGCUCCCCCUCCUCAUAUUUACAGCAGCUACAGAUGUUCUUUAGCUGGAAGAGGUUCAUGAAGUAUUUUUUCAAGACAGCUUUUUUUGUCAGGAAGAGAUGAAAAUCUUAAACCAAAAAUGUCUUUCAACUUUAAAUUUGGAGUUGUUGUCAUAAUGUAUUUCUUCACAGAGCUGCCAAAGAGGUUUUUAAAAGCGCUAUUUAUGCAUGUGCAUUAAAAGCAGGAGCACACCAUGGCUAUAUGAAAUUAAUUUUCUGGUUUUGAAGCUUGCAAUUAAGGUUGGGACAAAUGUUCCUGCUGGUUGUUCCUCCUGCAGUCACUCUUGUAAAACUAAAGGAGAACCACUGACAUGAAAGCCCUGUUGGUGUCGUUACUGCUGGGCUGCUUUGCUUUGUGGAGCGUCAGCUCCUCUCUGGUUAGAGUGACAUUGUGUAAGGCUCUUAAAAUCCUGCUGAAAUCCCUGAAGCCUGUGAGGGGAUCCCUCAUUAAAAAUGCUGGAAGACAGUCUAAAGUGUCACUCGCUGUAGAGAAUGAGCUUGUUGACAAGACCACAUUAAACUCAGCACUUUUUGCAAGCACAGUUUGCAAACCCAGA